rnacentral:rRNA from 1 species
GCGGCAGGCCUAACACAUGCAAGUCGAGGGGUAACGAGGCGGUAGCAAUACUGCGCUGACGACCGGCGCACGGGUGCGUAACGCGUAUACAACCUGCCCGUAACAGGGGGAUAACGGGGUGAAAACCCCACUAAUACCCCAUAUUGACGAGCUGUCGCAUGGCGGCACGUCGAAAGCUUCGGUGGUUACGGAUGGGUAUGCGUGGCAUUAGGUAGUUGGCGGGGCAACGGCCCACCAAGCCCACGAUGCCUAGGGGAGCUGAGAGGCUAAUCCCCCACACUGGUACUGAGACACGGACCAGACUCCUACGGGAGGCAGCAGUGAGGAAUAUUGGUCAAUGGAGGGAACUCUGAACCAGCCAUGCCCGCGUGAGGGAGGAAGGCCCUAUGGGUUGUAAACCUCUUUUGACGGGGGUCAAUAAGGCGGAUGCGUCCGCCGACGAGCGUACCCGUCGAAUAAGCAUCGGCUAACUCCGUGCCAGCCGCCGC